UACAGAGGGGGCAAGCGUUAUUCGGAAUUAUUGGGCGUAAAGGGCGCGUAGGCGGCCUGGCAAGUGGAAGGUGAAAUCCCUCGGCUUAACCGAGGAACUGCCCCUCCAAACUGCUUGGCUUGAGUCCGGGAGAGGUGAGUGGAAUUCCCAGUGUAGCGGUGAAAUGCGUAGAUAUUGGGAGGAACACCAGUGGCGAAGGCGGCUCACUGGACCGGAACUGACGCUGAGGCGCGAAAGCGUGGGGAGCAAACGGG
rnacentral:rRNA from 1 species